GAGGGUGUCGUUCAAAUGGUAGAGCACAUGGUUAGCAUGCGUGAGGUCCUGGGUUCAAUCCCCAGUACCUCUA
rnacentral:tRNA from 1 species